rnacentral:rRNA from 1 species
GUGCCAGCAGCCGCGGUAAUACAGAGGGGGCAAGCGUUAUUCGGAAUUAUUGGGCGUAAAGGGCGCGUAGGCGGUCGUUCAAGUGGUAGGUGAAAUCCCUCGGCUCAACCGAGGAGCUGCCCGCCAAACUGAAUGACUUGAGUCCGGGAGAGGUGAGUGGAAUUCCCAGUGUAGCGGUGAAAUGCGUAGAUAUUGGGAGGAACACCAGUGGCGAAGGCGGCUCACUGGACCGGCACUGACGCUGAGGCGCGAAAGCGUGGGGAGCAAACGGGAUUAGAUACCCGCGUAGUCC